CCUGAACGCUGGCGGCGUGGCUAAGACAUGCAAGUCGCACGGAGGUAGCAAUACCUUAGUGGCGAACGGGUGAGUAAUGAAUCGCUAAUGUGCCCCGGACUCUGGGAUAGCUGCCCGAAAGGGCAGGUAAUACCAGAUGAUAUAACCGAACCGCAUGGUUUGGUUCUCAAAGGUCCGCCGGUCUGGGAGCAGGCGAUUUCGUAUCAGCCUAGUUGGUGAGGUAACGGCUCACCAAGGCGACGACGCGUAGCCGGACUGAGAGGUUGGCCGGCCACAUUGGGACUGAGACACUGCCCAGACUCCUACGGGGGGCUGCAGUAACGAAUCUUCCGCAAUGCACGAAAGUGUGACGGAGCGACGCCGCGUGUAGGACGAAGCCC
rnacentral:rRNA from 1 species